UACGUAGGGUCCGAGCGUUGUCCGGAAUUACUGGGCGUAAAGAGCUCGUAGGUGGUUUGUCGCGUUGUUCGUGAAAACUCACAGCUUAACUGUGGGCGUGCGGGCGAUACGGGCAGACUGGAGUACUGCAGGGGAGACUGGAAUUCCUGGUGUAGCGGUGGAAUGCGCAGAUAUCAGGAGGAACACCGGUGGCGAAGGCGGAUCUCUGGGCCAUAACUGACGCUGAGGAGCGAAAGCGUGGGUAGCGAACAGG
rnacentral:rRNA from 1 species